UUUUUCUUACACAGAUAUCCUCAGAAUACAGAGCUUACACUUAACGCAAAGGGUUCUGGGUAGGGAUAUGCAAAUCCGGCUAACAAUGGUUACCUUUAACCUUUAGGCUCUAUUGCAUGCAUGGAUGACUACAGCAUUAUUACAGUUCAAGACCGCUGUUCAAACAGAGCUAGUGUGAGAGGAUGCAAUGCUAGAAUGCCUACUCACGUUCAGACUGUAUAAUUGUAAUGGGAGAUAUCAGCGGAAUGUUGGUUUCUGGCAUACUGCAUUGUUCACAAACACAAUUUUCAGCCAGUUAAACACCUUGCUGUUUUUUUUUU